rnacentral:rRNA from 1 species
UCCUACGGGGCGCAGCAGUGAGGAAUAUUGGUCAAUGGCCGCAGGGCUGAACCAGCCAAGUCGCGUGAGGGAUGACGGUCCUAUGGAUUGUAAACCUCUUUUGUCAGGGAGCAAAGGGCGCCACGUGUGGCGUUUUGCGAGUACCUGAAGAAAAAGCAUCGGCUAACUCCGUGCCAGCAGCCGCGGUAAUACGGAGGAUGCGAGCGUUAUCCGGAUUUAUUGGGUUUAAAGGGUGCGCAGGCGGGAGAUCAAGUCAGCGGUAAAAUGUCGGGGCUCAACCCCGGCCGGCCGUUGAAACUGGUUUU